rnacentral:lncRNA from 1 species
CAUUUUAAUGUGAUUUUUUUUUUUUGCUAAUGCACUGUGUCCUGAUAACAUCUGGUUGUAAAGCCUAAGCACGCAAUUAAAGCCUUUAUUUCCAGCUUAAAUUAAUUUUUGUAUAGGCAACCAGGGAGGAAGGCUCUCCUCUGCGACACGUGAAAAGUCCAGCUGAUGUCCAUUCUCCCCUGUGCAAGUCAUUAGCACACAGAGCCACCAAUGUCAAGUCCUUCCACUGACCACACACCAGAUCAUCAAGAAUCCAGGAACUCCUUGCAGCCAGGACUCUAUCUCAGUGACCUCCAUGCCCCAGGUCUAUGUUUCUCCCUCUAAUGUGCAUCUGAAUCAGCUGAGGAUUCAGUGGGUCUGGGGAAGAGCCUGAAAUGUGGAAUUUCUAGCAGAUGCUGCUGGCCUCAGGCCUGAGCACAAUGCCUGGACUUGCAAAAUGCAGAUGCUUGGAAAACGUUUGUGUGUG